GGGGUUUAAUAUUUUGAACUGCAGUCUUUCUACUUUCCGUGAGAUGUUUUAUGCCCUGGGAAAUGCAAUGUCCUAGGAAAAUUACUUUCUCUACACAUGCUUGCAGUUUCGUUUUUGUCACUUUGCAGCCUGCUUUUGCCAAGAAUUUCAGCAAGGAAAGAGUGUUUACAAUACAAGAUUCCAUAUUAUCGCAACAUAGGAGUAGGUCAUCGAUAUACUGCAAUAAAAUUACGUUAUUUGGCCUUUGCC